AUGCGGUCCGGCCGCCGCGACGGCACCUUCUCCAACGCCUCCGAGCCGCUCAAGUUCCUGGCGCCGCCGACGUCCAACCUCAGCAACCUCGUCGCUAGCUUCGUCAUCAAGGGCCUCAACACGGAGGACCUGGUCGUCCUCUCUGGCGCGCACACCAUCGGGCGUUCCCACUGCUCGUCCUUCGUCUCCGACCGCCUCAACACCCCCUCCGACAUCAACGGCGGCCUCGCCGCGUUCCUGAGGGGACAGUGCCCGGCCGACGCGACGCCGGGCGGCAACGACCCGACGGUGAUGCAGGACGUGGUGACGCCCAACAAGCUGGACAGGCAGUACUACAAGAACGUGUUGUCGCACACGGUGCUCUUCACCUCCGACGCGGCGCUCAUGACUUCGGUGGAGACGGCGAGGAUGGUGGUGGAGAACGCCAAAAUCCCCGGAUGGUGGAAGGACAGGUUCGAGAAGGCCAUGGUGAAGAUGGCCGGCAUCGAGGUCAAGACCGGCCACCAGGGCCAGAUCAGGAAGAACUGCCGCGCCAUCAACCACUACUAA
rnacentral:rRNA from 1 species